ensembl:snRNA U6 U6 spliceosomal RNA
GUGUUCUCUUUAUUAGCACAGAUACUAAAAUCAAAACAAUAUAGAGAAGAUUAGCAUGGCCCCUGUGCAAGGAUGACACACAAAUUCAUGAAGUGUUCCAUAUUUUU